CCCUUAGAUGUUCUGGGCUGCACGCGUGCUACACUGAUAUUGCCAAUAUGUCAUUCUUAUCCGAAAUGGAUUGGGUAAUCAAGUAAUGAAAUUUCAUGCUUGGAAUCGGUAAUUGCAAUUUUAUCGUGAACGAGGAAUUCCUAGUAAGCACUAGUCAUCAGCUAAUGUUGAUUAUGUCCCUGCCCUUUGUACACACCGCCCGUCGCUACUACUGAUUGGGCGUUCAAGUGAGAUGCUUAGACCCUUGUUGCAUGGUUCAUUAUUGUGCUCCGAAAGGAAAAAGUUUCAAGCUUGAGUGUCUAGAGGAAGUAAAAGUCGUAACA
rnacentral:rRNA from 1 species